GCAUUGGUGGUUCAGUUGUAGAAUUCUCGCCUCCCAUGCGGGACACCCAAGUCCGAUUCCCGGCCAAUGCA
rfam:Danio rerio chromosome 4, GRCz11 reference primary assembly.